AAAAAUAAGAGUUUGAUCUUUACUCAAAAUGAACGCUAGUUAUAUGCUUAACAAAUGCAAGUCGAACGUAGCUUGCUUCCCCAUACAUCCAUGUGGGGGCAGAAGGGAAAGAGGAAUGACCCCCUCCUAGCACGUGCUCACUCACUCAAAUGAUAUGCAAGUGGUGCGUCGGGCAUGGGUAACAAUAAGAAAAGUGGCGAACGGAUGCGUAACACAUGGGAAUCUAUCGAACAGUUCACUCCAAAUCCUGAAUAAUUCAUAAAGCGAGCUAAUUUUCAUUUUUUGAUGAGCUCGCGUAGUAUUAAGUAGUUUGUUAGGUAAAGGAUGACCAAUACAAUGAUGCUUAGUUGGUCUUUUUGGAUGAUCAACCACAUUGGUACUGAGACAUGACCUAGAAUCCCUUGGGGCGAAGCAGUGGGGAAUAUUGGACAAUGGGCUCACGCCCGAUCCAACAAUAUCGCGUGGGUGAAUAAGGGCAUUGUUGCUUGUCAAGAUAUUUCGUCGAGUUUCGAUCAUGACAGGACUCGAGGAAGAAGCCUCGACUAACUCUAUUCCAGCAACCAUGAUAAGACAGGGGGGUAAGUGUUAUUCGAAGUGACUGGGCGUAAAGGGCAUGUAGGCGGUGAAAAGGGUGGAAAGUGAAAGUUACCAAAGCACUCGUGGGGUGAUUUCUUUACCAUUUCACUUGAGUGAGAUAGGGGAGACUGGAAUUUCAUGUGGAGGGAUCAAAUCCUAAGAUAUAUGAAGGAACACCAACCACGAAAGCAUCUCUUUGGGUCCCCACUGACGCUGGGGUGAAAAAUCAUAGGGAGAAAACAUGAUCAGAUAACCUGGUAGUAUACGCCAUAAGCGUUGAGUGUUCGCCCUUGGUAUACUUACCUGCUAGGUAGGAUUAGGAUCAGGGAUCCAGCUAACGCAUGAAACACUUUACCUGGGGAGUACGGUUGCAAGACUGAAACUCAAAGGAAUUGAUGGGGGCCUGCACAAGCGGUGGAGCAUGUUGUUUAAUUUGAUACAAUGUGCAGAACCUUACCAGCCCUUGACAUAUGAAUAAGUGUGCAUGUCCCUAAUGGGAUGGUGUGAAAAUUCAUAUAUGUUUUGCAUGGCUAUCAUCAUCUCGUGUCGUGAGAUGUUUUGUUAAGUCCUAUAAUGAGAAAAACCCUCAUUUUUUGUUGUUGAGACAUGCACUGAUAGAUCAAUGUCAUCGCCCCUUGUCAAUGAAUCAAUAGGGUGAGGCAAGAACCUCUUUUUUUAUUGAUGACACUCCUAUGAAGGAAGGUGCAUGUUUCACUCACAAGAGACUGCCAGUGAUAUGUUGGAGGAAGGUGGGGAUGAUGUCAAGUCUACAUGUCCCUUAUGGGUUGGACCACACAUGUUCUACAAUGGAAAUGAAAAUGGGAAGAAAGGUCGUAAGGCAUAGUGAAUCCAGAAAGAUUGUCUCAGUUCAGAUUGUUCUCUGCAACUCAAGAACAUGAAGUUGGAAUCGCUAGUAAUCGCAGAUCAGCAUGCCAUGGUGAAUAUGUACCCGGGCCCUGUACACACUGCCCGUCACACCCUGGGAGUUGAUUUUUCCUGAAGCAUCAAACCAAUGAUCACCCUAUCUAUAUAUGUUCCACUAGUGUGGCCCACGAAGGUUGGGGUGGUAUUAUUGGUGCAUACCAUGGUGGGGUCUUUGACUGGGGUGAAGUCGUAACAAGGUAUUCAUAGAGGAACCCGUGGCUAGAUCGAAUCCCUU
rfam:Picea glauca, whole genome shotgun sequence.